AGCUCCAAUAGCGUAUAUUAAAGUUGUUGCGGUUAAAAAGCUCGUAGUUGGAUUUCUGUCUAGAACCGUCGGUCCGCACUUUGUGCGUGUAUCUGAUGGGUUCUCGGCAUCCUUCUGAUGGACGCUAUACUUAACUGUAUGGCGGAUGUCAGAACUUUUACUUGAGGAAAUUAGAGUGUUCACAGCAAGCAAGCGCUUUGAAUACAUUAGCAUGGAAUAAUAAUAUAGGACUUCAGUACUAUUUUGUUGGUUUCUAGAGCUGAGGUAAUGAUUAAUAGGGACAGUUGGGGGCAUUCGUAUUAACGCGUCAGAGGUGGAAUUCUUGGAUUGCGUUACGACGAACUACUGCGAAAGCAUUUGCCAAGGAUGUUUUCAUUGAUCAAGAACGAAAGU
rnacentral:rRNA from 1 species